rnacentral:rRNA from 1 species
GAUGAACGCUGGCGGCGUGCUUAAUACAUGCAAGUCGAGCGAAAAGACGAGAAGCUUGCUUCUCUGAUGUUAUCCGCGGACGGGUGACUAACAAGUGGAUCACCUCCCUAUAAGACUCGGCUAGCGUCGGGAACCCGGAGCUAAUACCGGAUAAUAUUUUGAACCGCAUGGUUUAAAAGUUAGAGACGGUCUUGCUGCCACUUAUAGAUGGAUCCGCGCUGCAUUAGCUAGUUGGUAAGGUAACGGCUUACCAAGGCAACGAUGCAUAGCCGACCUGAGAGGGUGAUCGGCCACACUGGAACUGAGACACGGUCCAGACUCCUACGGGAGGCAGCAGUAGGGAAUCUUCCGCAAUGGGCGAAAGCCUGACGCAGCAACGCCGCGUGAGUGAUGAAGGUCUUCGGAUCGUAAAACUCUGUUAUGAGGGACGAAAAGAUGUGUAAGUAAAUGUGCACAUCUUGACGGUACCGAAAGAAAAAGCCACGGCUAACUACGUG